AUAUUUCGAAAUACUAUUUUUUAAUCACAUAAAAUAAACAUUUGUAGUGCCUAAAUACUAAUUAUUUUUAAGGGAAAAAUAUAAUGUGUGCCUGAAGUUUCUCGUUUUAAACGGGAUUUAGAGGAUUACUAUUGUAAUAAAAAAUAAUUCUUGGACACGGCCAAUAAAAUCUACACUCAUUUAACACGGGUGGGACUCAAUGUCAUUCAUUUGUCAUUAAGGGCAAAAUUGUCUUUGCAUUGUGUGAAAGCUGAUUGAAAAUUGAGUUCCUUUUUCGUUCCUUUGUUCGUUCCUUUGAUUUGCAUGGUCCAGAGGGAGAGAGCGAGUUAUAAAGAAUAAAGUCACAGGGACUUAAUCGUUAUCGGCGAAGUGAGAAGCAUCAUAGGUUUGUCCUCACUCUAAUCCUAAUUUCUCUGUCUUUUGUUUUCUUUUUUAUUCUUGUUCGAAAACCUUAGAAAAAAGGGGGGCAAGGUUGUGUGACAGAGAGUUAUGUUUUUUAUUCAGUUUGGAAAACACCAAAUGUUGUACUUCAUUCGUUUCUGUAUGAGUAUUGAUAUUAGUUUUUAUGGAAGGGGGUCAACUUUUUAUUGGGUUAAUUGAAUAAAAUUAAUUUGUUGCUUAGUACAUAGAACCGGCAAAUUCAUUAUUUUUCAUGUCAAGUUACCGAGGCAGGAGCACAUACAUUUUUAUGCAUUAUUGUGGCUAGGUUCUUUAGGUUUUAAAUUUCGCAGGCAUGCAUAUGGUCCAUUUUCGUUAUCUUUACUUUCUGUUGUCUGUAUUGUUGAGUUUCAUACUGUUAAUGACAUUUGAUUUAAAUGUUGCUGAGGAUGAUGCACAUUUUCUGCAAGGAGUCCCAUGUGAUUUUAUCUUUAUAUUUAUGCAACAUAAAUCUUUGUAAACCCUUUUUACUCCACAGCAAAUUUGAUGUCUUUCUAUCCUGCUUCCCAGUUAAGGAGAAACAUAGAAAGUUUUUUCGAAUCAAUCGUUUUUUUUUUUCUUUCAAUUAUAGAUCAGUAUUUCAUGUCUGGGACACUUCAUUAGAGACCAGAGAAAUAACUAGGAGAUAUUGCAACCUGGGAUAAAGCUGAAAGUUGUGUUAAAGAAGCUUUAGAUGAUUUUGCCAAGCCUUGGCAGGUAAUUAUGUCCUUUUCUAUAUAUCUUAUAGAAUAUUUCAUGCCAGUGAUAUAUUGUAAAGGAUAUUCUUUUCAUCAUACGGUUAUAAUUAUAAUUACAUUAGAAGUAGUACAGAUUGGAUAUCCAAAAGUAGAGUUAGCCCAUUUCAUCUUCAAUACUAAGAAAAUUCUUUGAUUCCUCUAAACUCACUAAAUAAUUGCCUACCCCAUGUUGUCUCCCCUCCUCCCAUCACAUUUAUCCCACCAUUCUCUCAUCAUGGAAUUGUACUCUUCCUAGUUCCAAGCAACAUGAACCGAAAAACUGUAAAAUCUUAGAAAUGAUAUAUUUAUAUUUGUGUGAAAAAUCAUGAUGUAAUACAUUUAUAACUUUUGUUAUGUCAUUAUAAUUAUAUUUAUAUUUACUGAUGAUGCAAUUAUUGUAAUAAAUGAGUUAUGUUAGCUAAGUAUGAGUUAUAUAUAUAUAUAUAUAUAUAUAUAUAUAUAUAUAUAUAUAUAUAUAUAUAUAUAUAAUAUAGUAAUUUGUUUUUUUUAAUUGGAGAGGUUGGUUUGCAAGUUCCAUGAGAUUCAUCUGUGCUUUCAACCCAAUAGCCUCUGCAGAACUUUCAUCCAAGUUCCUGCAAUUCCAGAACAAAAACUGUUUCUUGUUUUCCGUUAAUUGUUCAUCAGCGGUUGAAGGAAACGAUACAGUCUUCAAUGAUUUGCAUUCAAUGGCUUUUAAAGUUUUAAGAGACGAUGGAAGGUUUGACAGAUUUUUAAGAGAUUUGCAUUUGCUGACUUCUAGAGUUUGAAGGGACGGAGGAAGCUCUGGUAUUGUUCGAAGCUUGUUGCAAUUGUUUAUGUCUAGAUGUUGCAGUUGAGUAAGAUUGUUGAAGGAAGAAGGUAACAUCUCAAUGCCACUUCUUGUUAGAUGCAACGAUUUAAGCUUGCUGUGGCAUUCAAAUGAUGAAGGAAGUACUUUGACCUUUGUAAAUCCUAAUCUCAGUUCUUUCAUAUUCUGUGAUAUCAGUGAAAACUCCCUUAGAUUCAUGGAAAAAUCUAGAUUCAGAUAACUGAAGUUGCAAAAAUAGGAAUUGCUUGUGAGUAGGGUUAGAGAUUUGCAGCCCGAAAUGUCAAUACUUUCGAGUUUGGGCAGAGAGAAAAUAGAGGAAUCAUCACUAGUCAACAUAGAACAACCCAAGAGGACCAGUACUUCAACAUUUGUUGGUUGUGAUAAAUCUGGCAUCUUUUUUAAUUUCUUGGAGUGCAUAAGGUCAAGCUCUUUCAAAUUCACCAGAUUCUGUAAAACAGUGAAACAAAAUGAAGAUAUCAGGUGAAGUUAACUUAAAAAAAUUUAAAGGGUAGCACAAAAAUUUAUACCUUUAGUCCGUCCCAAAGUUUUUCCAUUCUUCCGUAUUGUAACUUUAAUAUUACAAGUUUAUCAGUACAAAAUGUUAUUCAAAAGAUGUUAUAUGUACUUAGACUAUAACGUUGUCAUUUUUCAAUGUUAUAUAAAAGUCACCAUUUGGAUCCAACAACCAAUUGCUGCUUCCAGGUUUGCUAGAUUCUUGAUGAACAAUCUCCCAAGCCAUUUCUUGUAAAGUAUCAUGCAUAGAGAUAGAGUUAUCAUUAAAAGAAGUUAUAAGAGCUUUAUCUUUCAGCCUUUCUAACCCUACAACUAUUGUAUCAUCACUUUCAUCAUCUUUGAGUAAAUACUUCAGAUCACCACUAUUUACCCUUACAUGAGAUCUAACAAAGAAACAUGCCAGGUCUAAAAAGAUUUGUUUCUCUUUGCGAUCUAGACCAUCAUCUUUCAGUUACCCAUUUUUAACAGACAUUUUCUUAAGCUUGUUUAACUGACUUUCCCAUACUUCCUUGUUUCUUCCACAAAGAAGCCGAGCUAAAACUUUAACAAGUAAUGGAAUGCCAUGAGCGUAAUCGACCACCCUCUGUGAUAGCUCAUUGAACUCCAUCCUAUGAUCACUUUGGUCAAAGGCAAUGAGAUUGAAAAGUUCAAGAGCAUCGUUUGAACUGAAUUCCUUGAGCUGGUAAAAAUAUACAUCCUACAAGAGAAAAAUAGAAAUGGAUAGAUAUGAUAUGACAGAGCAAUGAUAAAAAAGAAAAAGAGUUGUAGAUGAUUGGUAGCCAUAUUGACAUAGAAUGGGGAGUCACUUUUGAACGAUCAUCACCACACUUUUUCAUUUUCAAAUGUGUUAGGUAGACACAUUCAUAAAUAAUACAAACCGUUGUGUAAUCGGACAUUUUAUUCCCAUCAAAUUUAGGGAUAUGGUCCCAUAACUCCAUAUAUUUAAUCACCAACAUAUCACAAUCAUACUUACACAUUAAACAAAUAUUAGAAACAACAGAUUAUAUGACACAACUCAAUAAAUUGGUCAUUGACAACCCGUGUUAUUUGUUUCUCUUAUUUGCUUUGAAUAGUAAAUAUCGAGACCCUAUGUUAAUUAAUAUUAAAAAAAUUAAAUUUAGAAAAGUGAAAAUUUUGUGCAAAAUGUAGGAGUUCAUUAGAAAGAAGGCAAAGUUCAACCCAUGAAAUAGAAAAAAUGUAUUUUCCUCUAAAUUAAGUUGUAGGCAGUGCCAUGUUAUGUUACUUUUUAUUACCAUACACUAGCCUCAAUGUAGAAACAAUCUAAAAGUGAGCAACUUAACAGCAUUCUCUGUUACUUACUCUGAGUGCAGGAUUUGCAUCAGUAUGAAAAACAGUAAGAGCACUCAUGGCAUUAACAAGCACG
rnacentral:lncRNA from 1 species